rnacentral:rRNA from 1 species
AUGAACGCUGGCGGCGUGCCUAAUACAUGCAAGUCGAGCGAACGGACGAGAAGCUUGCUUCUCUGAUGUUAGCGGCGGACGGGUGAGUAACACGUGGAUAACCUACCUAUAAGACUGGGAUAACUUCGGGAAACCGGAGCUAAUACCGGAUAAUAUUUUGAACCGCAUGGUUCAAAAGUGAAAGACGGUCUUGCUGUCACUUAUAGAUGGAUCCGCGCUGCAUUAGCUAGUUGGUAAGGUAACGGCUUACCAAGGCAACGAUGCAUAGCCGACCUGAGAGAGUGAUCGGCCACACUGGAACUGAGACACGGUCCAGACUCCUACGGGAGGCAGCAGUAGGGAAUCUUCCGCAAUGGGCGAAAGCCUGACGGAGCAACGCCGCGUGAGUGAUGAAGGUCUUCGGAUCGUAAAACUCUGUUAUUAGGGAAGAACAUAUGUGUAAGUAACUGUGCACAUCUUGACGGUACCUAAUCAGAAAGCCACGGCUAACUACGUG